rnacentral:lncRNA from 1 species
CAGAACAGCAUAAAAUAAGCAGAAUUACAGAUUUGAUUAUCGAACUCUGUUGGAGAAGUCCUGUAUCUUACUGGGCAAAUUGCCCUGGUACCUUCCACAAUGAAAUUUGUUCGUGGUGGAAUACAAACAAAAGCUACUCUGUCCUUAAGCCAUACCCUGAAAAUCCUGGAAGCAACACAUGGAGGCACCGGACUUCAGCACACUUUCAUGGCUCACUGUUAUGAAAUGUUAUGUUAAUGAACAGCCAGCUCACUUCCACUGCUCUGGAUACCUGGCAGAACUUAAAGACCCAUUAAAAGAGGUGAAAGAAGAUGAAAUGCUUCAGUGUAAUCUGUGGAGGGUACCUUGGUCAGAAACCUGGUUUGCUCCAUAUCACUAAAAAAGGUAAGACUGUAAUAGAUACAUUUUAUUUCAGAUAUUUCAAGCUAUGCAUAGAAAAUAUAAACAUUUAAAAAAUAGUGGUC